rnacentral:rRNA from 1 species
AGAGUUUGAUCCUGGCUCAGAUUGAACGCUGGCGGCAGGCCUAACACAUGCAAGUCGAGCCGUAGAGAGAAGCUUGCUUCUCUUGAGAGCGGCGGACGGGUGAGUAAUGCCUAGGAAUCUGCCUGGUAGUGGGGGAUAACGUUCGGAAACGAACGCUAAUACCGCAUACGUCCUACGGGAGAAAGCAGGGGACCUUCGGGCCUUGCGCUAUCAGAUGAGCCUAGGUCGGAUUAGCUAGUUGGUGAGGUAAUGGCUCACCAAGGCGACGAUCCGUAACUGGUCUGAGAGGAUGAUCAGUCACACUGGAACUGAGACACGGUCCAGACUCCUACGGGAGGCAGCAGUGGGGAAUAUUGGACAAUGGGCGAAAGCCUGAUCCAGCCAUGCCGCGUGUGUGAAGAAGGUCUUCGGAUUGUAAAGCACUUUAAGUUGGGAGGAAGGGCAUUAACCUAAUACGUUAGUGUUUUGACGUUACCGACAGAAUAAGCACCGGCUAACUCUGUGCCAGCAGCCGCGGUAAUAC